rnacentral:rRNA from 1 species
CGCUGGCGGCGUGCCUAAUACAUGCAAGUCGAACGCACUCUCGUUUAGAUUGAAGGAGCUUGCUCCUGAUUGAUAAACAUUUGAGUGAGUGGCGGACGGGUGAGUAACACGUGGGUAACCUGCCCUAAAGUGGGGGAUAACAUUUGGAAACAGAUGCUAAUACCGCAUAAAACCUAACACCGCAUGGUGUAGGUUGAAAGAUGGUUUCGGCUAUCACUUUAGGAUGGACCCGCGGUGCAUUAGUUAGUUGGUGAGGUAAAGGCUCACCAAGACCGUGAUGCAUAGCCGACCUGAGAGGGUAAUCGGCCACACUGGGACUGAGACACGGCCCAGACUCCUACGGGAGGCAGCAGUAGGGAAUCUUCCACAAUGGACGAAAGUCUGAUGGAGCAACGCCGCGUGAGUGAAGAAGGUUUUCGGAUCGUAAAACUCUGUUGUUGGAGAAGAAUGUAUCUGAUAGUAACUGAUCAGGUAGUGACGGUAUCCAACCAGAAAGCCACGGCUAACUACGUG